rnacentral:lncRNA from 1 species
AUGGAUAACUUCAGAAUGUACAUUGCGACAGCGGUCUUGCUUGGCUUCUCGCUGCAGGUUGUCAGCUGCAGCUGUCAUGACAGCGAGUAUCCCGCUGCGACGGGCGUGUGCUGUCGAUACCCUAAACAAGGAUGGUUUAUUUCUAAAAACUGCACAUCGGAGAAUGGUAUAGAGGCAUCACCCUGCAAGAACUGCACAGGUCUUAAGAUAGCAAACUGCACAUACUUCUCCGACACUCAAUGUGAAGACGACAGGAAAAACCAGUCCUCCAUUUCAACACAGAAAGCAGAUGAAUUUGUGGUCCUCAUCAUUCCUUCUGUGGUGAUUACUUUGGUCUUAUCUGUUGCCUUACUGUGUGGACUCUGCAUUCAUUUGAAAUGCAGGAAUCCUAAAAGACUUUAUGAUCUCCAUGUUUCAAAAACAAUGCAAGAUGCCUGAUGUGAUGCCCUAACAAAUCAUGGGAACACAUGUGGUCCCCGAAACUCAUCAUAAGUCAAAAAUAUAGUAAGUUGAAAAUGCAUUUAAUACAUCUAAUACACACCUCUGCAUGACAGACUGGUAGAUGCAGAUUGCUGCUGCUGCUGCCCAGCAUUGUGAGAGAGUAUCGCACUACAUAUCGCUUGCAGUGGGGGGAAAAAAAAUCAAAAGUCAAAAUUUGCAGUAGUUUCUGCUGAAUGUCUGUCGCCAGCUCACCAUCGUAAAGUCGAAAAAAUCGUAACUCAAACCAUCUUAAAUCGUGGACCACCUGUACUGGAUCCAAAUUCAAGUAUUAUCUUGAGAGUGGUUCCCCCAGCUGCCAGUACAGUUAAUUUUUACUGAGACACAAGGAUCAUUUGUCAUCGUAUAUGAAAAACAUAAAUGGUCAGACUAAAUGUAUAGAUGUGUUUGCAUCUUUUUAUACUUUUAUUAUGUAAUAAUUGUUUGUGAAGUUAGUCACAAUUAGUUGUUUUUGACAAAAAAACUUUACACUUACAGCAACUUGCUGUACAGCUAUGGGUGUUGCAAGCCCCUCACCCAGCAGAAUAUUUGUAAAGCCUUUAAUUUUUGAAAGGCACUAAAGAAGCUAAGUAGUUUAACUAAACUAAAGUUAAAUGUAGUUAAUAAAAGCUAAAAAAGUUUAAAGGUUUAAAGAAGG